UGUUAUUUAGCUCAUUUCAGUGCUGGUACUCUUAUUUAUUAAAUGUUAAAUUAAAUUUAUAUUUCUCAUAAUCAUUAGUUGAAGUGAAAUUUCGGACUAAAUUAAACCAGUGUCAAGGUUUGCCAAAACUUUUCGUCUAAAAAUAAUGUUUUAAAAUUAAAUGUUUUCAAGGCGGAUUGUUCGGUGUUUUUUUCAAACCGAUUGAGCUUGUUUCCCUGAAGUGUGGUCGUCCGCAUUCUUUUCGCUGCUCCAAAGUGACAUUCAACGGAAGCAAUGAUUAAAGAGCAAUCUGCUGCGGCGUUAGAAGCAGAAGAGGAUCAAGAAGAAUCAACAAAUGAAGCUUUGGGCAAACGGCAUACUAGUAUUUUCAUCGGUAGCAGAGACAAAAAACCAUAUUAGAUAUUACUUUGCGUUCCAAUCGUGAAUUGUGUUCACGGUUAGGACGCAGGGUUAUAAAACGCGCCAAGCAGUUCCGCUACUCGUCGCUCGAUGUCGCCAGUUGGGGGUUGGGCAGCGGCGUGCCCUUGUCAUUCUUCUCGCCCUGUGUGUUGAUACUACUGGACGGAGAACUGAUAAGGGCAUGUCCUGUUACUGAACAUCGAAC